UCAGGAGAGAUAUUACCUUUUAUUCAGGCCUGGGUACCAGUGGGAGUUUCCACAAAUAAAGCACAAUAAUGCAAGUUUCUUCACUAUAUUUGCACAUUAUUGUACAAUACAGUAUAUAUAUAUACGUAUAAUACAGUAUUCCACCUAUCUAAUUCAGAAGAAACAUCGACUACAUACAUAUUCAUAUAGUAAAGCAAUGAUACACCAUCCUCUCUGGUCUUCUUUCACAGCUGCCUGCCCUUGUGCAAGGUUGUUUGAGUGUCUUACGAGUCUCUCAGUGGUCAUUUCAUGAAUGUUCCUCUUACUCUUUUUAUCCUUAUGUGGUCACCUAAGAACAAGCUGAACAGUUCUUCUCUUGCCAGUUUUCCAAGGAGAGCAAUUGUCCUCGAUUAAUCAGAUUACAUCAAUGGCUAAGACAUUCUGUGUUAGUAUAAGAAGUACUUGAUCAAAGGAUUCUACAUUCAGGUUCAUUAAGCACAGACAAUACUCCCUUCUUUCCAAGGGAAAAUUAUUGUUUCCAUUACCUGUAUCCUCCCCUUAGAAUGUUUCAAUGUAUCUACCUGGUGUCAGUAUCAUACACUCCCCUCCCUCUACCCUUCCUUUUCUAUUGUUUUAUUUAAAUUACUUAAUUUGUUCAAAUAUCAGAACAAGAGGGUGAGCAUGGGAAAACAUCCUCGAUGAAAGAUCCUUCCACAACUUCCCAUUCAGCAAAGAAAUCACAAGACCACAGGUUGUUGAAUUCAAGAAAUCAAUCUGUAGAAACUUAAGAGCAAAGUUUUGUUACUGUUAAGUAAGUUAUUCUUUAUUAAGUGGUGCCAGGAAGCACUGGGGAUAUUUCCAACAUAAGCACUUCAAAGAUUAUAUGAUUCAGUCCAUUGUAUUUCUGCAGAUAGUAUGUAUUCAUCAAUUACACGUGAGACAAUUAACAUACACACACCUGUCUCAGACAGUGACUUAUGAGGCUUCCAGUCUUCUAUACCACUGUCUGUUCUACCAUCUAGUGUCCUUUUAGCAUAAUGACGGUCCAAUCGACAGUCUUUUACUUCAUCCAAUGGUCUUCUUCACUUGUCCUCUAGAUGAACUUUCUUCAUUGAUGCAUGCUCAGUGGGAGAAUGCCUAUUGUAAUUCAUAGGUACCAAAAAUUGUAACAUUUCCUCACUCAGCACUCAGCCAUUAUUUCUGGAUAUCUGCUCAUUUUUGGAUAGAGGUAAGUUUGGCAGCCUGUCUUUCAGUAACGUAUACUGGUGUGUGAGAAGACAAGGAGGAUAGAGGAGAGUAUCUUCACGUCCACCUGUUGAAUUUCAACCUAAUCCCAGAAUGAGAUAAUUUGGCCUUGUGUGGAGGCGUUGGCUUUCAUUAUCAUGUUUCUUCUGCUGACAGUCUCCUGUCAAAACAGAAUAGCCUUACAACAAGCUACAUCCAUAACUAUUCUAAAAGCUAUUACCAUCUUGCAAGCAAGAACUAAUCAUACAAUACAACAACACCUAUAUUUUUAAAAACACACUGCUAAAAUAUAUGGUGUAUCUACUUCUUCAAAUCAGCUAUUUCUAAAAACACAUUACAACAUGCACUGUGGCCUACCUCUUCAAAUCGCUGUACCAUCUCAGUCAUGUUCUUUGAGCUGAUUCUCUUUCUGCAACCUGAAUAGGAAAUGCUCACGCAGUAACAGUGUGUACCAGGCAAUGCAGGCUGGCACUCACUUUUCUUUCAGGGUAACUUCCUGAUCUAGAAGGAGUAGGUGUUGCUUACCCUUCUUUUGGUUUGCAUUGCCGAAGAGACUGAAGAUUGAAGCUGACCUCACAUGGCUUUAGCACUCAGCCCUUUCUGAUUCACUGCUUGCAGCACUUCGCCUGUGCCACGCAGAACGACAGCACCACAGAACGGCUUGGGUUGGAAGGGACCUCAAAGAUGACCAGGUUCUAUCCCCUCGCCACAGGCAGAGCUGCCAAACACUAGCUCAAACACCCUACGUCAGCAUUAGCAGGAAUUGUUUCUCAGCUUCACACCCUCUGCUGGGACACAACCGUGGCCGCUGGUAUUAAUAAGUAGCUAACUGCCAACCUGGGGGAAGAGAAGCAGCCGCACUGCUACGUGGGAUUAUGAGAGCCCGCGAAGAUUUUUU
ensembl:lncRNA